UGCAGGGGAUGCAAGCGUUAUCCGGAAUGAUUGGGCGUAAAGCGUUUGUAGGUUGCUUUUUAAGUCCAUCGUCAAAUCCCAGGGCUUAACCCUGGACAGGCGAUGGAUACUAUUAGGCUAGAGUACGGUAGGGGCAGGGGGAAUUUCCGGUGGAGCGGUGAAAUGCGUAGAUAUCGGAAAGAACACCAACGGCGAAGGCACUCUGCUGGGCCGAAACUGACACUGAGAGACGAAAGCUAGGGGAGCGAAUGGG
rnacentral:rRNA from 1 species